UAACUCCAGAGAAUGAGUUUUGCUCGCGCAGAAAGGUACAACGUCACUGAGUUUUUGUAAGUAACAAAUCUCCAGCAGUGGUAUUUUGUGGACUAAGUCCUGAGACGGUUAUAACUGUCUGCAUGGGUUUUGAAGCAAAUGCCAUGGUCUAGAGCUGGCAGGUGGUUAACCAAAGGGAAUUUCAUUUUGCUAUGGCAAUAGGAAACCACAAAACAUGCAUCUUCCUCCAGGUCAUGCAGUGGGCAUUCAGAGAAAAAAUCCUGGGGGUGGAGGAUGUGGGGAAGAUGCUAAAAAUUCAAAUUUAUGUUGCUCUGGUCUAUUCAGAGAGACUAACAUAUCUCCCAGGUGGGUGGAGAGUGAUGUGCGGCACCACAGAUAUCUUGAAUUGAAUUGCUAUUCUGUCUUGUUUGCUAAAUCAAGAUGCAUUGUCAGAUUGUUCUUAAGUCUGCCUAUUGUAAAGGGCAUUUCUAAGUACUUUCACCAAAUGCUGUGCUCACCGGUGUGUGUGCUGUAAGUCAAUUACAAUGUCUCGCUCAAAAAGGUCCCUCUUAAAGAAAUUGAUAUAGAAAACUUGAGUUUUAGGCUACUGUGUAUUUGUGCUGGUGGUAGAUUGAGGUCCACUCUACCCCAAACACGUUUACUUCUCCUGAACAGACGAGCUGAAGGUGUCUUGCAAAUAAACAAAUCUAUUUGUUGAUCUUUCAGAUGUUUUAUAAUUCAUGGGAAUAAUUUAAGAGAAGAAAGCAGUGUAGAUAAAUGCCAGAAGCCAACUGUUUCUGUUUGCUUUGUACCAUAGGAAUAUCUAUCUAUUCAGGAUUUUGCUGCCUGGAUUGGCCUUUUUUGGUGCAUAUUCUGGGAAAAAUUGAGUAGGGGUAUCUGGAUCCACGAAGUGGCAUCUGAUCCCUGCCUUGAUAUCUUCAGGGAGCUCAGAACUCAGAUCUUAAAAUGGCAAAGGAUGUAGCAUUUCCUGGAAUGGCUCAUGACAGAUAUUCUUCCUCUGAGUACUAGUUUAGACUUACAGUGGGAGGAAAUCCCAGCAGAUAACAGGAAAAAAUAGUUUUGAUUUUAAGAAGAAAAGAGCUUAAAAGGAAACAGGAAGCUGAUGUUGGCAGUCUGACCUGUGCUGCAUGAGGAAUCUGAUUUCAAAAGCCUUCCCAAAUGCAGGCUUAAGGGAUGCAAACUGCCAUGACGUUUGCAGCAAUUGAGGAAUUCUGUCAUUGGCUCACACUGCUCUCUCUUUUAUAGGAAAGUGAAAGCAUAAGACUUAGUAUGUCACUGUUAUGUGCUUAUGCAUUCUUGAUCCUACAAAAACUGCAAAAAAAAAAAGACUAUGAAAAGGUCAGAGUCCACCAAGAAAUGCAGGUGUUCAGCAGAGCUCUGGAAGCGAAUAGGAGGAGGUCACCAGUGCUAUGGCUGAAGCUUUUCAUGAAUUUCCAUAGAAUCUUAAUGAGUUCUAAAGAACGUUGCUCUUAUUUCUGAAACCGUUCAUUUUGAUCUCUUUUAGAACUAAGAGGCUAGUAACAGAUAACUUAUUUGUACAGAGCCUUGUUUUGAAACAGCACAUUGAAAAAAAAAAAAUGAAACCUCAGUCUGCAGCACCUGACUUGGAUUUCUGAAGAACUCUGUCACCUUCCAUCCACUCUGGUGUGUCUGUGGAGUCACGUACUGGGGCUGAGGCAAACACAAUGUUGUGUUUCCUUCUGUUUCACCUGCUUUUACUCAUUGUUUUCUUGGAUUAUUUUUUCUGGCAUUUCUCCUGAGCGCUGCGAAGGUACAUGGAAAACAAACACGACUGCUGACAGUCAACAUGGCUUCACUAAUGGCAAAUUGCACCUGACAAAUUUGGUGGCCGCCUUUGACAGGGUGACAGCAUUGGGUAAGGGAAAAGCAGUGGAUGUUAUCCAGUUGGACCUGUGCAAAGUGUUUGAUGCUGUCCUGCAUGACAUCAUUGUCUUUAAAUUGGAGAGACGUGGAUUUGAUGCAUGGACCACUCAGUGGAUAAGGAAUUGACCAGAUGGUCACACUCAGAGUUGUGGUCCAAGUGGAGACCAGUGAUGAGUGGCAUUUCCUCAGGAGUCAGUAUUGGGACAGCCGCUGUUUAAUGUCUUUGCUGGCAAUGCGGAAAGUGAGAUUGAAUGUGGUCUCAGCAAGUUUGCCAACACUAAGCUGUGUGGUGCAGUUGACACACUGGAGGAAUGGCAUGCCUUCCAGAGAGACAUUAACUGAUUUGAGAAAUGCAUCCGUGUGAACCUCAUGAAGUUCAACAAGGGCAAGUGCAAGGUUCUACACCUGAGUCAAGAAACACCAAUCACAAAUGCAUGCUGGGCAGAGGUUAGGUCGAGAACAGCCCUGAAGAGAAGGAUGUACAUUUUCAGCUGAUGAGAAGAAGUAUGCUCUUUCAGCUUGAAAGGCCAACAGUAUCCUGGGCUGCAUCAAAAGAGGGUUGGCUAGCAGGGAGAGGGAGGGAGUUGUCCCCUUCUACUCUGCCCUCAUGAGACCCCAUCUGGAGUAUUGCCUCCAGGCCUGGGGCCUCCAGCACAAGAAGGAUAUGGAGCUGUUUGGGUGGGUCUGGAGGAAGGCUAAAAAGUCUCCACAGGAGAGGUGCUCCAGUCAACAGGCUGAGAGAGCUGAACUUGUUCAGUCUAGAAAAGAGAAGUCACAGGGAGUGUACUUUUUUUCCCACUCCUAUUGUUUUGUGUUAGUCACCAGUGUUGAUUAAAGCCCAAUCCAAAUUCGAGUUAUUAAGAUAACUCCACUGCCGGAGUGUCGAGAAAAAGGAAGGUGAAAACUGAUAGGAGGGUGCUACAGCUGAAUCUGACUCUGCAUGUACAGUAGCUGUCCAUAUAUCUGCUCACCAAAGGUGCCUUGAGCAAGGGCCAAGAGAAAAGAAAUGAAAGGCUCAGCCUAGGUAGGUAGAGAAGGAAAGAGGGGGCUGCAAAGAGGAGCAGAAUAGCUGUCAGAAGGGAUUCAGCUUCUUGAAACGUGCAUCAGAGGAAUGACGUAGGUCUGCACAGCUGGAGGCUGGGGAAAGUUGGAAGAGCAACCUUCCCUGUCUUUUAUCAGUUCAGGCAAAUAAGGAAGUUAAUUUGCUGGAGGUCCUGAGUAGUACGUGGUGAUACAAAAUGUUCCUCUGUAUUUUAUAUGAGUUUGAGGAAGCACAGCUUCCCAGCUCUUAGGUAGGCACUUUGCAGAAUGUGGAACCAAGUCAUUUCCAAAUUGCAGUGUUUAAGGAAGCAAUUAAAACAGGGUUAGAUAUUUGAAAUAACUAAAAAUGCCAGGACUGGAGAUACUUGUGAGGUUUUGUAAAGUUAGUUUCAUCUUGGAGAAGGCUGACCGAGAAGAACAAAAAUAUUUAUUGAAGCUUAACCUCAGUUAAACUGUUGGCUCUUCCAGGAGAGAAGCUGAAAGAAAACUCAUCUGAACCAGGGAGUCGGGAGAGCCACGCUGACGUUCCUUCCUGUGCCUAUCAGUGUUGAUGAGUUCAGGACUGAAUCAAAAGGCAUCCCUGAGCUACCUGCUGGCCACAGUAGUGCCCUACAGCAGAAAAGGUUUAUGCCUUGACACCAGAUGCAAACAGGCACGUGUGCUCUCCCCAGACACGUGCUGUUGUGUUAACUUGCAUAUGUGGAUUUGGACGAUGCGUUGUGGGCAGUGCUGUGAGCAAGCAUGGGAGGCAGUGCAUGGCCUGGCUUGCUUCAAGUUUGGUACAGGAGUGCUGCGUGUUGCAUGCUGUGUGUGAGAAGGGUGGGGUAGCUGCAAGGAGCUGCUGUGCUUGGUGUCAAGUGAAAUGGAGGGAGGGAUUUCUCCAUCCCAGGGAGUGCCUGAACUGGGCUUGGAGACGCUCCUGCAGAGCAUAGCAGGGCUGCCAGCUGGCAUGGGGCUUCACAAUCCUCCUGGAGGAGGGACCAUAGGUCCGCAGCCCAAGGCCCAGCAAUGGCAGGAAGGUGAAAGUUUUCCUGGGAAGACUGCAAGGAGUUUUCCAAUUGGGAAAGCUGAUGAAAUUUGCUGGGCUGGAAGGAGACUAUAGCUUCCAUGCCUUCUGCAAGGGUACAGCCUGGCUUUCCUCAGUCUUCUGACCUGUUGCCAUAGUUCCUAAUCUUUUCCUUAGAAACUCCUUUGUUCUUUUGCCUGUUUUCCCCAUGUUUUUCUUGAUAUAGAGGUUUCAAACCACAGUGCAGCUGUACUUUGCUAAUGCUAUGUAGCACAGAGGGGUUUCUUCACAUCAAGCUGACAAAGCUCCUGUUUUCUGCAGUUUGAUGUCUGACUUAUUUACAGCAAUCUGUGACUCAUUCCAGCCUCUGAGCUGCUCCGUGGAAUUGCCCUGUUAAUGAUUCCUUGUCCUGUGUUUAUGCAAUUUAUCAGUCCUGAAAUUACCUAACAUUGCAGCGUCCUUGCUGAAUUGUCUGUGUUUUCCAAACCAGCUGUCCAGUUUGCCAAAGCUGUUCUGAUUUGUCAGCUGUGUGCUAACACCUUUUAGCUUGAAUCUGCAUGUGAAUUUUAAUAUGUCUGACCUACCUCUAUUGGUUAUAAUGGGAAUAUUUGUGUAUUUGAUCCAGGACCAAUCUUUCAGUCACCUAGAUGAUAUAUUCUUCAACUGAUUGGUUUUUGCACACUUUGAAGUAAUACUUUUCUCAGUUGACUUAUGGUAAAUGCUAUGUCAAAAGGGCAUUGACACUCAGUCUCACGAUUCUGUGAUUCUAUGAUAUCUGUUCUUUUUCCUGUCCCCAGGAGCUGCUAUUCUGUAAAAGGAGGAAUCUAUCAGUUUGACCAUGAGUAGCAGCCAGCACGGAUUUGUCAAGAAUAAACCACUUCCUUGCUGUCAGGUAGGAACUUGAUUUCAUAUGCUUGCUCUUUUCUGGAGGUGAGGGAUUUGAAGUUAGACUAUUUUUUUCUUUGUUUUAAAGAUGUUUGUCUUUUUUGGUCUUCUGGAGUUUCAUCUGUCCUCCAUCACUUCCCAAACAAGACCACAUAUGUUUGAGAAUUCAAAACAUUUAACCAACUUCUCAUAUGUGCUUUGGUGAUGAAUGGUAGCAGCACAGCCAUUUGGAAAAACUAAUUUAUCCCAAGACUCCCUGGUUUAAACUCAUGCUCCUCCAUUGUCACUCUCACUUGUUGUUUAAGUGCUGUUAACAGCUCACACCUGCAAAGGAGGCAGAGUUGUUGUACACUUGUUGUAUUAGGUAUCAGUACUUUCCUCUUGGUUAGAGUCCAGCUUCUUCCUUUGUAUUCCUCUUUCAGUUUAAUCCUGAAUGUAAUAUGCACCCAAAUGAGAUUCAAAUGAACACACAAAAGAUCAGUACAAUUAUAUAUGUCUGUCAUGUUACUCAUGUUACUCAUGUUACAUGAACUCAGCAGUUCAGUAACAUUGGUGCUGAGCAACACCCUUCCUUCCUUCACUGUAAGUAUCAGCACUUCAGAUCUUGGAUUAGAAAACAAUGGCAGUUGUAGUUUCUGAGUUAGACAAAGAUCAGCAUCACCGGGUCACCUCCGUGCACUCGGGCUGCAAGGCCGUGUUCAUGAUGCACUUGCAAACUCAUGUGAGAGUUUCCAGUGUGACUGCUUGGUCUUAGUCAACGCUGCUAUUUCCUCACCUUGAUGAACAAAGGAGUCACAUCAAGAUCUUAAUACCGAGGGAGGGAAUACUCCAAAAACUGACAACAAGUGUAAGGGAUUUUUGUUAUCACCCACUGGUUUGCACAUGAUCUGGUGUGAUUCAUAGUCUUCACAAAGUGGGAGAGCAACGACGAAGAGAAGGACAAUUUUAGAAAGAUCAUCCAAUAGAGUAGUGAGGAAAUCAGACACAACAAACAAAUGGAAAUAGUUGCAGUACCCCAGGCUUACCAUAACACCUUCAUAAGCUGCAAAAAAAAAAUCCCAGAAGCUACAGAUUGUGAAGUCAGAAAAUAAAGGAUAACUGAUUUAAAAAAAAAAAAAAAUGCACUAAGGACAGAUCUAUGAAAACAUCCUGUCGGGGUUUUACCUUACUGUAAUUUGGGGAUGCAAGUUAUCAGAUAGGUACCCGCCUUGGACCUCAAAGGGUUUCAAGGCUCUCUCUUUGAACCAGUCUGUUAGCUGGGAUUUCUAAACAGGUCUAUGCAUUGAGGGAUUUAUUUAGUGUCCAAACAAAAAACAGUGGAGGAUUUAUUUUUCUCUUCACUGUCCAGCCCUGCCAGCAAUGGGCAGCGUUGUGAUGCUUACAAGCACUUGAAGUAGUGUUAGUCUUGGAAACUGUGCCAAAGAAGCCAUUUUUUCUGAUUGUUAAGCACUGACUCCUUUCAUAACUGUAAUUUUGGGGUUCUGUUUCAGCUGAGGUUUUAGAUAUCUCUUCUGUAUGUCCAUAGUAUGUAUAUUUAUUUGUAGAUCUCUAAUGUUGUGUGUGGCAGUUGAAUGAAUGAAUCUCUCUCAGGAUGAGGUCUGGGUAAAGGAGAGAAAUAGGUCUGUUACUUGUUUUCUUUAAAGCAUAACAAUUCACUGAAAUCAGCAGGUGCUUCAUUUUAUUUUGUUUUGUGCUUUGUUGUUGUUUGGAUAUUCUUGCUUAAAUGUGGUCCAGACAAAUCAUAGACUCAUAGAAUCGCUAAGGUUGGAAAAGACCCACAGGAUCAUCCAGUCCAACCAUUCGCCCUUCACCAAUGGUUCUCACUAAGCCAUGUCCCUCAACACAACAUCCAAACGCUCUUUGAACACCACCAGGGUCGGUGACUCCACCACCUCUCUGGGCAGCCCAUUCCAGUGACGGUCAAAACCAAGCUGGCUGCAGCCCUAGGGGCGACCUGCUGUAGAUGAGCCUGCUUUGGCAUGGGGCUGGAUUUAAACCAUCUGCAGAGCUUCCUUCCAACCUUCCUUCUUUCUGCCCAACUAUUCAGUGGUUUUUGCAACCUUGCCAUGGAUUGUGACAGUCAUAAAUUUGAUUUUUAAAAAAGGAUUUGUGCUCAGGCCUGCUGUCUUCAUUCAGAAGUUCCAGCAAUAUUCCUUCUGUCUUUCCCUUCAGUGCUGGCUCUGUGCCACUGACCUUUUCUGUGAAGUUUAAUUCCUAUCGUUCUCUGUUCAUGCAACAGAUUUUUCCGUUAUUAAUUUAAGGAAUGCCUGAAAAUGAUUCCACUGCUUGGUUCCUUAAAAAUAAUCUGAAAAAAAAAAAAAAAAAAUCUUUGCAGUCAGCCUAGCUUUCCACAUCGGUGAACUUCUGUAACCUUUCGGUGUGUUUAUAUUACCCUCUUUUAUGUUUGACCUCUCACUUGCAAAGAGCUGGAGUGGAAAUCCUGGGUUCCAGACAUGAGUACAAGUUGCCAUCUUCUGAACCCACGCUCUGUGGCUCUUUCUUCACAGAGAUUCUGGCUUUCCAGCAAAAGGAGCCUGAACUGCUUACGCUGGCAGCUGAGCUUGUUAACUGCCUCAGCUCUGAGCCUCUUGUAUAGAUCAGACUGUUCUUCAUUCUUAAGUAAUAGCAUUGUUAAUUGGAGUAGUUGCAGCUGUACAAGCAACAGUGGAACUACAGGUUGUGCUGGCGUGGUGCACUGAAGGGCUGUCACAAGUGGCUCUCUGAACUCCUCACUGGUUGAGCUUUUGCUUUUCAAAGCAACACCUAUUUGGAAAUAUGGGUUAAUGAAAUGUUGAUGUGGAGCAGCAGCUUCUGAACUUUCCUGUUCAAGGAAAGCAAGGAAUGGGAUGGUGUUGGGCAUGCUAGAGAUGUUCUUGUUCUGUACUGGGGAUUUUCAAUCGGCAUAGCUUUCAAAGCUUCUCAAUAUACUUAAAAGUUGCUCUGCACAGAACGAUCAUUGUAGUCAUUCAAGCACAUAACCCCAAACAUUGGCGUGGCCUUAAACAGUAGUGGUGCAUUAGGCUUCAGAAAUUGUCUCUUCAAACUGGGCACGUGGAAUCCGCAACUGCCUGAAGGUGCAGGUGGAUGUGACUGCUUGCUGGUAGUCACAAAAGCCAACUGGGAUGGCUCGGGUGCAGAACCACAUCUCACAGCUUGCUUGUUCAGUGUCAGCUGCGGGGAGGAAAAACAUAGCUUGCUUGAGACCUGUGGGAAGAGGAGCCCCAGCAGAGCCUGUAGCUUCACUCUGUGAAGUGGCUACAGAAGUGGCACAAAACUCAAGCUUUUGGCAUGCUCAGGAAAGCUCAGAGGACUUUCUCAGUCAAAUCAUAGGGGUGUUUCCCUGAAAAUGCAUCAAAGUAGUUGCAGUAUUUGCACAAAGCUUGUUCUGAUUUGUGUUAGCAUACCCUCUAUGAGAAAUGCUAACUUGUGUUUUGCCAAGAAGCUCAGUGCUCAAAUGAAUCACAGCCAUGUGUUUUCCUUGAGUUGAAAGCUGCACAGUACAGGAGGAAAGUGGAAUUUGACUUUCCAAGUCCAGUCAAACAUUAACCACUUACUAUGAAGCCUUACAGCAGCAUUAACACCAGCUUGAAGGCCGACUGCUCCAAGAUGCAGAAGAAUCACUCUAAGUACACAAACCUAGCUUCUUAUUUAUGGGGAUCCUUUUCUCUAGGUGCUGGGGGCAUUAUGUUCCCCUUUGAUUAGGGAAGAAACUUCCCUAUUAGAAGAAGCUAUUGUCUAUUCUGAGUAUUUGUUUUUAAACUAUUGCAGCAAAAUAGAAAUACUUGCAAGUACUCUCAGUGCAAGUGAAUCUCUGCAUGGAUUCACUCCAAAGCUGACUGCAAGCAGGGGGAAAAAAAGCAGCAGUCAGCCUGAGAGCUGGUUUUACUGCUUAAGUAUUUCUCAACCUUAUUGCUGCACUGUGUGCAACAACUGAUAUUAGUGCAUGCAAGGGUAGAGCAGAGACAAUAGGGAGUGUGUCCCCACACUGUUUUGCAACACUGCACUUUUGAAGUUCCUCGGCUGUGCUAAGAGGAUGUGGUUAUUCAGUUUUGCUGCUGUUUCAGGAAGGACGGAGCUCCAGUAAACUUUCCCUGAAAGAGUCACCUGGAAACCACAGAGAUAAAACUACCUGAGAAGGAGAUGCCACCAGUGGGAGAUGGGAACAUAGGGCCAGAUGAGCACAAAUCCUGAGUUCAGGGGAAUGAUGAGACCAAUGAAAUGCCCCCCUGCAUGGGAGCACUGCACAGCACAUGCUAUUUUUGCCCUGAAUGGUUAUUCUUAGGAGCUGAAGCCUUUGACAUUCUGUGGGAGGGGACACAUCACCGUGCGAAGGGUAUGUAAGUGCAACACAACAAAGCCUCAAGAGUUCACAAAAUCAGUUGCCAGUCAUUCUUGGGGUGGCGGUGGCUGUGCUAAUCAAUUUUUUCCACUGCAUGCUGUGCCUUCCCAGGAGCUGCCACUGUGCAGCAAGUUUAGGGGAUUCCACGUCUGGUUAUCAAAGGAUGGAUCUUGUGUGGGAGGGGAAAGCCUGCCUGCACCCCACGCUGGCUCCUCAUGUCAGCCACAGAGAUUCAUCUAAAAAGAUGACUUAGUGUGCAGAGCUGCCUUUAAAGCAGCGUGCUGUGGUCUCACUGCCUUGUCUCAGUGUCACCUGCUUGUCUUGCUGUCUCUUUCAAGCAGUCUUCGCCAUAUUCUCCUUCUCAGACUGGCUUCGCUCUAUGGCAUUGCAGGCAGUGGGUGUUGCAGAGCUGUCCUCUCUGCAGAGAUGAAUUCCUGCUUUGCACAUAGUAGUUUUCAGGUGUCAGAGGAUGCCUAAUAUUCUCAGUACAACACCUGGAACAGUUUUAGAAUCUCUCUUCCAGUGACAGAAGACUGGCACUGAGGAGAUGAAAAACUAAAGACUAAAUUCCUUUCUUGUCUUUGCACAGGCUCCAGACUUGUGCACAUGCAUGCCUCUUACCUGAUUUCAUGUCAUUGCAUUCCUCUUUCCCUCCUCUAUAAUGCUAUGUUGCUUUCAUUUUCAUCUCAUCACCUGCUCUUCAGAGGGCUGUUUUUCAUUUCUGAUGUUAGGCCUCAUCUCACAGUUACAGGUGCUAUGUGCUGCAGCUUCCUGUCUGGGACACUGAUCGGUGCUGCUCUUCUGGGUCGUGCUUGCUCUCUCAGGAGGCCACAACCCAUGUUAACAGGGUUUCCACAUGCUCUGGCCUCUUGUGCUUCUUCGCCUCACAAUCUGCUCACCCAGCCAAGAGCAUCCUGAACAAAUGAAUGCUGGUAACUGGAGGGUUAUUGUUAUUGUUCUAAGAGCAAUUAAGAGUACUAGAGUUGGUCACUGAGUUUGUGCAUCUACAGGUGGCACGUUCCUGCUGGUAAGGUUCAACACUACUCCAGCAUAGGGCUCAGACUAGGGCUGUUCUUGCUAGAGGGAAGGGAGGCCCUCUAUCAGGGCAGCCAGGUCCAAAGAUCACCGUCCCUCUCUGGGGGUGUCUGGUUGUCACCUGUGAGUCACUGCAGAGGGUGGCACUUAGGAAAGCUCUGUCUUUGCCACUUGGUGAGGCACAACCAGGCCUUGCAGGAGGUGGAGUUGGGUACACCAUGCUGAGAGCCAUCAAACCAGAUCUGCACUUGUGGUCUUGUGCCCUGCCUAGUUUUCCUGUCUCUUGGUAGCUGAUGUUCAAUUGUCCAUGGGCAUGCCUGUGUGGAUGCCCAAUCUUCUUUCAGAAGUGAUGGUGGGGGUGAGGGCUGUGGGUGGCUGAGCUCCUUUCUUCACUUGUUCCCCUCUCUUAUGUGCUUCAGUGCCUUGCUCCAAGGAGAUGUGGAGCAGGUGAGAGGGGCUCAGCUGUGUCCCGAGGGAGGUGAAGGCCCUGCCCUGUAGUGUGGCCUCGCUUUGUGAGUGUCACCUUGCUUCUCUGGGCUGGGACCCAGGUGGCUGGUGCAGAUGGCUGCUGUGGAGUGAGCUGCAGCUGGCCCUGACUGGGGAGGGCUGUGGGGGCACAGCUGGAGCCAGGCACGGGCUGAUCCCUCACCCAUGAGGAGACUCGGUGGGGCUGAUGCAGGGUUCAUAACACGUGUGCUCCGCCUUGUGAAAGCUGCCUAUGAUAUGUGCAUAUAGCCAAGAUGGUAAGGUGCCUCUUGGAGGGGGGAGGAGAUACUUUUUGUGUCGUUACAGAUUUAGCAAAGAGAUCGGAUGCGUUGGUGUGGCACUGAGUGGGUGGGUGACAGCACGAACAGUCAGCGCCGUCCUGCUCGCUGCUCGGCCUGGUCCCCAGGUUGGUGCUGGGGACUGGCCUGGGGAACAACUGCCUUUAAGCCAAUCGUGUGCUUCUAACACUGUGUUUUUGUUGGUUUGUUUUUUAGUGCCUUCUAGAAAUAAGCUUUCUCAUAACCCCACCACUGGUCCAGUGCUGUCUGUGCUGUGCUGUGGUAAUACCACAAGCUCCUGAAGGAGGUCAGCAGCCAUUAUAGACACCGGACAACUAGCACAUGUCAUGAAAGGUUCUUCCCCCAAUGGCUUCUCACCCAUAAAUGUUAAAAGAGGAGGUAAAAGUGUGUGUAAGAAUGAGAAAAGGAGAGACCACACUGAAUGGCAGCAGGAGCAGAGGUACACCAGUGUGCACAGAGCCAUUUUGAACAUCGGUGCCUUCAACAUCCACCGGAGGAGCAGCCUCAGAAGCUCUUCUGACCUUCCUGGAGCUCUGACGCCCCAGGCAGUGUGUGCUUAGAAAGCUGCAGUGAGUGAGCUCGGCUGGUACUGCCCUUAGCCGGGGAUGUGAGGUGCAAGGUGAGAAGUCAGAGCACACAGCAGCAGUGAGAGCUGCUUAACCGGGUAUCGCUCUGCUUUGCUGCUUUGACCUAAUAAUGUGUAGGCAUUUCUCAUGCUUUAGAUUUUUAGCUGAGACUCACGGGCUGAUUGCUACUGGAGCAUGCUACUAAGAAAUUUUACUACAACGUGCUUUGAAUUCACAUUGAUUUUAUAGAAAAAGAAUUUGAGACUUCUCUUUUUUUUAGAAUGAGAAGCGCUGCUGUUCUGAGUACGAUGGUGUGGCAUGCUGUUUGGAAUUUCCCUUGCUUUCUAUAUAUACACAUGCAGCAAAGCCACAGGAAAUAGAAGUUAAAAAAACAGCCAUAGAACAUAGGUAUCUUCUUGAACAAAUUUUAUUCUUGUCAUUGGUUUUAUCAUUAGUGAGCACUUAAUCUUGAGGCAUCGCUUAAGGCUUGCUUUAAAAGAUCUGAUGCCCUAUAAAUCAUUUGAGGGAGAAACACAUUGCCUUAAAGUUGCUGAAAAAUGAGAGGAUUUUUAGGCUCUUGGUUCUGUAGUUCUGUACUUGCUGUGCUGCAGAAGACAACUUCAUUGUUGAUCUCUCUCUCUUGGGGCUUUUGGGGUGGGGACUCACUGCUGAGGCUUCUCCCAGUUGUCUCUUCUGUGAUUCAGUGAGUCACUCUUGCCUACAGCUGCUGUCAUGAUGAUGUGCUAAGGGCCUAUUUCUGCAUGGCAGCCGGCAUAGUCCGGCAUUAUAAGUAAGCAGCAUUUACUUUAAAAUCCCAUCCAAAAUAUGGUAUUGUUAAAUCCAGCAGCCAUGAAAACUAACUUGCCAGCACUCAGACUGAAUCUGCGAUCUGAAAACACUGUUAGUGAGAGAGCUGCUGAGGAGCCCUGAGCCAAUCCUGGCUCUGAACCUGUGCUGCUUUGGAGAGCAAAACUUGAGGAGGGCGAUUCUAAAAAGGGAGCGAUUCUAGGAGAAGGGAUGGACUAAAUCAUGAAGGUAGUUGCACAAAUACACCCAGGCAUCUCUGAAUGUGUGGUAGCACAUUCAUACAAAGCCUAGAGGAGACAGUUACCUGUCUCCUUCCAGACUCCACGGACCUACAGGGGUACAUCUGCCUGCCUUUUAGUACUGUUCUGCCUCUCGAGUGAGGGUACUGCUCAUCAGUGCCGAGAGACUGACAGAACUCAGAAUGGGCCUGAUAAUGGGGUUUGGUUACGUUGGAUGCCUUUGGCAACUGAUGCAGCAAAUAAGGAACUGAGUCCCAUAUGGUCACACAGACUUUCUGCAUGGUUUCAAGAGUCUAUGCGAUUUUACAGAUGUGUUUUCAGCGAACAUAUGUCGUACAAAUGGCUAAUGAAAGUUCAUAAAGUUUAUGCUGUUCAAGUUGCUUUCAUUUUACGCAGUUCCUUUCUUACUCAUGCACCGUCAUUGCUUUCUUUUGGGAAAGAAGCUGCGUUGCUUUCACCAUUUGACCAAACAAGAUGCACACUACACAGACAGCAGUCCAAGUGGCAGAGAAAAAACUGCGUGAGGCCAAAGGAGCUUUCCUUAAUGUGAAGGGCACAAAAAUCGUGGGUGUUCACAGCUGCUUUUACCUCAGUGUUGGGGCAGUGGAGCUGACAGUUCUUAUAUAUUCCAGCCUACAGCUUCACUGUGAAUGUGGGCAUUGGUUGGAAUUGCUUGGGUAGUACUGAUGUGUGUGCUAUGCUGGCUGAGGAGAGGGCAAAGCACUGGGUAACAGCUUUUUUAGGACAGACAGCGUGUGCCUUAUAAUCUAAGUCAAACAGUUGUAGAAGAUGCUGGUAGUUUAGUUUUGCAGUAUCUAAUUGGUUUCUUGGUUAGCACAAAGACAGAGAAAUAGGUAAGGUUCUUUUUACUAGAGUUGGGGGAAAAUAGGAAGUAGUAAAAUAGCCCCAAAGCUGAGGGAUUUUUAUGCUGGGAGGUAGCAGAUCUAUCCUGGAUUUUUGAUGCUGAUAUUCAAACUUCAGUCUUUUAUCACGUCGCUUUAGGUUGUAAGAGACUUGCUGUAAGCUAUGCUUCAUCUAUACCUUCAUCAGCUUGUAUUUGCUGGGCCUCUUUGUAGGUAUAUCCAGUUUCCCAGCAUUCAUUUCACCUGAAUCCUCCUUUUCCAGGAUUUGCAUUCCAACCUUCAGCUUUGACAGGGAGGGAACUAAUUUACAGCACUUGGAACAAGGAGAAUAUCGAGGAUAUCUUCUGGUGAUGUCUGUACUGCAGCUUCCUGUAUCUAAUUCUUCCAUCCAUAUCUACUAGUUGCAGUUCAGUCUGUCCAGCUAUACCCAGAGGGCAGUAUUAAUGUACUUUAAAACCGUAAGUGAGACGCUAGGCAAAAGAAAUAAACUAACCAUUGAGAGAUGAGCUUAUGCCACAGGAAGUUUAAUCAUAUUUUUCUCAGCAUAUAUUCUGUGUGCUCCAUCUGAUCUCUAAGACCUUAAAAGGCAAUGUUUAAAAUGGUCACCGUGAAGAAAAAAAAAAAAAGAAGAAUCUCUGCAUGUUUGUGUGUGCUGUGAUGGGAAAAAUCAAACUAGCACUCACAGGCUUACAAUUAGUUAAAGAGCAGAUCAGUAAUGAGAACACUGCACCUGCACACUGCAUGGGACAGUCCAUGCAUCUUUUUCUGGUAAUAGCCCAGGUAAGGCCAUACUGGCAGAAAUCAUCAUCUUCCUUUGGGCUGUAAAAGAAUUGUGGAAAAAGCAGACUUAAGACUUGCUUAGAGAAGAUCGUUCUGUCUUUAACUAUUCAUUGCAGAAUUCCUUGCAUGUCUUGCUCAAGGAUUGGCUCCAGGCCACGAGAUGGACUACUGCUGUCCCAAGGAAGGGAAAUUUCUUUCCCUCUCAUCCAAGGAGAGCAGCUUUCCCUCUGUGUAGUUGUAGUUCUUCCAGCUGUUCCAUAACCAUCCAGAUGUUAAUCAUACGGACAGCAAUACGGCGGUGCUUUAUUAUGUAUGCUGGGGAAAGAGGAGCGUACCAUUGCCUCUCAUGCUUUGUGAACCUGGACCACAGCGAAGAACACUUUGUUCACUUAUAUUAUGUUGAAACUACUUGGAAACAGGGAGAGGAAAACUGAUGAAGAUUCAGUGCUGCACUGGAAAAUAAACAAGAGACUGGACUUAAUUCCUAGCAAGGUGCUGUUCAGCAGGAGAAAACUCUUCUGUGUGGGAGAUCAAGGGAUAGUUGAUGCUGUAGGAAAUCCUAGCUAUUACUGGAAGUGGGGGGGGGGGGGGGGGGG